ACAAGGUUUGCAUAAACUUGUGUUGAUCACAUAAACGUUUUCCAAACUGACAUCUUCUUAGUUAGCCUAUUAAUAAUAUCAGUCUAGUUCAGAGGUCUCCAACCUUGGCUCUCCAACAUUUUGAACUACAUUUCCCUGCGAGCUCGUAUAGUCUAAUAAACUGCUGGACGGCCUAGGUUGCAGGUCCUUGAGCUAGCAUUUUUAUUAUUAUUAUUAAUAAAACACCAACAAAUUCCGUAGCACUGUGCAAUAGGUGGACUAACAGACAUGUACUUGUAACAAGACGAGUUGGACACACAGCAACAGAGGGUGUUAAGGACCCUGCUCAAAUGAGCUUACAUUUUUACUGUGUUGAUAAACCAAAGACCAGCUUUGACAUUACCUGAACUACAUUUAAAAGUUUUGGGGAAAUCAUGGGAGUUACAGUAUAGUCAGUUGAGUCAGGGAGAACUCAAGGUAUCAAAUAAAACAUGUACUGCAUUGAAAAAAACAUGCCCCUAACUGCAUUGGCUCAGAUGUAGUAAAGCUAUUAACAGUACCUGGCAACACUUACAGUAAUCUAUAUGACAGUAGAUUAAAC